rnacentral:rRNA from 1 species
UACGGGGGGAGCAAGCGUUGUUCGGAUUUACUGGGCGUAAAGGGCGCGUAGGCGGCCACCGCAAGUCGACUGUGAAAUCUCCGGGCUUAACCCGGAAAGGUCAGCCGAUACUGCGGGGCUAGAGUGCAGAAGGGGCAACUGGAAUUCUCGGUGCAGCGGUGAAAUGCGUAGAUAUCGAGAGGAACACCUGCGGCGAAGGCGGGUUGCUGGGCUGACACUGACGCUGAUGCGCGAAAGCUAGGGGAGCGAACGGG